rnacentral:rRNA from 1 species
AUUAAAAGGAGUAAGGGUUAUUCGUAGCCCGACCUCCAACCCUUUGUUGUUAUAACUACCUCGUUGCUUUGGCGGGACCGCUCGGUCUCGAGCUGCUGGUCUUCGGCCCGGCAAGUGCCCGCCAGAGUCUACUCAAACUCUUGUUUUAACCGGUCGUCUGAGUUAAACUUUUAAUUAAAUUAAAACUUUCAACAACGGAUCUCUUGGUUCUCGCAUCGAUGAAGAACGCAGCGAAAUGCGAUAAGUAAUGUGAAUUGCAGAAUUCAGUGAAUCAUCGAAUCUUUGAACGCACAUUGCGCUCCCUGGUAUUCCGGGGAGCAUGCCUGUUCGAGCGUCAUUACACCACUCAAGCACUGCUUGGUAUUAGGCCAUCGUCCCCCGCAAGGUGGGCGUGCCUCAAACACCUCGGCGGAGCCUCACCGGCUUUGGGCGUAGUAGAAUUUCUCAACGUCUUAUAAGUACCGGUCUGACUCUUUUGCCGCUAAACACCAAACUUUUAAAGGUUGACCUCGGAUCAGGUAGGGAUACCCGCU